rnacentral:misc_RNA from 1 species
AUAGCCAAAUUUCAAUUCUUGAUGCGGACUGCAGAUGAUUUCAAAGCAGUUGUUCAGGGAAAGGGUGAUUUGUAAAAGUGUUUUUGUUGCGUUCUACGUUGGCAAUCUCAGAUUCUUUUCAGGAAUCUCAGUUGAUUGAAAGGCAUGCACAGUUAAGGGAAAGAUUAGAUUUUGUCAACUGGUUGGUUGUUUUUUCUCGUUGAUUCUACUCAUAGUAGACUGUACCACGUAAAUUAAUUUUAUGGUUUGUGCUUCAUGAUCCUACAGGACUAAAGCAGUGUUGAAUUUUAAUGAUUUGUGCUUCAUAUAUGGGGUACACUGUAUACCCCGCAGAUAGAAGAUACAGCAGAUCGAAUCAUGAUUUACACUUUUAUGAUAAAAUCCAAUUAAGCAGCGAACAUGGGUGUGUAUUUUCCGUUUUCUGUUCUUCAUGAGCCUUGAUGCGGAUUGGGUUUCUUUUUGAUCGAAUCUUACUAAUAUUCAUCUUAAUAUGCUGCUUUUGCUGUUCCUUCAAUGUUUUUUAUUUUUUUUUCUAGCUUUGACACCAUGCUUGUGGCUUUUCUCCUCUAGUUGCCCAGACUGUCACCAAGAAAAGGAAGCUGCCCUUAUAUGCAGACAGAGAUGCCACCCAAGCUGGAGGAAUUUUGGUUCAGCAGUUUAGGGGGAUUGGGACGGAACCAGUCUGUAGGACCCCCAGUUCCAGUUUCAUUUUUAUCAAAUCUAACUGUCAUUUUUUUUUUCUCUCUUUUUCAAAGGGCAAAAAAUUCGUUUUUGAUCCAGAAACAAACCAAACGGUUCUAGUCCAGUUCAAAUCAGACCGAUUGAGUUUGAUUCUGGGACCGUGGCCUGGUGUAGUUAUAGGUGAUACAAUAGGAAGCUUUGUCUCAUUAAAUAAUGAACGUCCAAGGACAGAGUGGACUGCAGCCAUGGACCAGUACUGCACUGAGCUUAUGCGGGACCAAAUAGUAAGAGGCAAUAAAGCUGAUAACACAUAUACCCAACAAGCUUGGUCUGAUGUGCUUGCCUCCUUCAAUGCAAAUUCGUUCCUCAACAUGGCAAGAGGGUUUUAAGACAUGGAUACAAGAACUUGUAGAAGUACUGUAGUGAAAGAAGGUUCUACUUGAGCAAAAUGGUUUUACCUGGGAUGAAACUGAACAUAUGAUUAUAGCUGAAAAUGAUGUUUAGGAUACUUAUAUUAAGGUGCAAGGUCUGCAAAAAUUGCAAUUCUUUGUCCCUUUCUGUUCUUCCUGGCACACCUUGAUUUGACUUCUAUGUAUACAUUUGUCUAAUUUGCAGGUGAUUCAAGCAUGGAUCCUUUGACAAUGGACUGGCAGCCAGCAAUAUAUUUUAUUGAACUUGUGUUAGAGCAGGUGAAUAGAGGGAAUAAGAUUGGUAACACAUUCAAUGAGCAAGCAUGGAUUCACAUCAAGCUUGUACGUGCAUACCACAAUUAAAUGAUCAUGUGUUGUGCCUUCUUGAUUAGAAUUUAAACAUUUUCUUUUAAUGAAUCAAGUUGUGGGUUUGAACUUUGAAUUUCG